GGGUUGUGAGGUUAAGCGACUAAGCGUACACGGUGGAUGCCCUGGCAGUCAGAGGCGAUGAAGGGCGUGCUAAUCUGCGAUAAGCGCCGGUAAGGUGAUAUGAACCGUUAUAACCGGCGAUACCCGAAUGGGGAAACCCAGUGUGACUCGUCACACUAUCAUUAACUGAAUCCAUAGGUUAAUGAGGCGAACCGGGGGAACUGAAACAUCUAAGUACCCCGAGGAAAAGAAAUCAACCGAGAUUCCCCCAGUAGCGGCGAGCGAACGGGGAGGAGCCCAGAGCCUGAAUCAGCAUGUGUGUUAGUGGAAGCGUCUGGAAAGGCGCGCGAUACAGGGUGACAGCCCCGUACACAAAAGCGCAUGUGCUGUGAGCUCGAUGAGUAGGGCGGGACACGUGGUAUCCUGUCUGAAUAUGGGGGGACCAUCCUCCAAGGCUAAAUACUCCUGACUGACCGAUAGUGAACCAGUACCGUGAGGGAAAGGCGAAAAGAACCCCGGCGAGGGGAGUGAAAAAGAACCUGAAACCGUGUACGUACAAGCAGUGGGAGCACCCUUUGGGUGUGACUGCGUACCUUUUGUAUAAUGGGUCAGCGACUUAUAUUCUGUAGCAAGGUUAACCGAAUAGGGGAGCCGGAGGGAAACCGAGUCUUAACCGGGCGUUAAGUUGCAGGGUAUAGACCCGAAACCCGGUGAUCUAGCCAUGGGCAGGUUGAAGGUUGGGUAACACUAACUGGAGGACCGAACCGACUAAUGUUGAAAAAUUAGCGGAUGACCUGUGGCUGGGGGUGAAAGGCCAAUCAAACCGGGAGAUAGCUGGUUCUCCCCGAAAGCUAUUUAGGUAGCGCCUCGUGAAUUCAUCUCCGGGGGUAGAGCACUGUUUCGGCUAGGGGGCCAUCCCGGCUUACCAACCCGAUGCAAACUGCGAAUACCGGAGAAUGUUAUCACGGGAGACACACGGCGGGUGCUAACGUCCGUCGUGAAGAGGGAAACAACCCAGACCGCCAGCUAAGGUCCCAAAGUCAUGGUUAAGUGGGAAACGAUGUGGGAAGGCCCAGACAGCCAGGAUGUUGGCUUAGAAGCAGCCAUCAUUUAAAGAAAGCGUAAUAGCUCACUGGUCGAGUCGGCCUGCGCGGAAGAUGUAACGGGGCUAAACCAUGCACCGAAGCUGCGGCAGCGACACUGUGUGUUGUUGGGUAGGGGAGCGUUCUGUAAGCCUGCGAAGGUGGCCUGUGAGGGUUGCUGGAGGUAUCAGAAGUGCGAAUGCUGACAUAAGUAACGAUAAAGCGGGUGAAAAGCCCGCUCGCCGGAAGACCAAGGGUUCCUGUCCAACGUUAAUCGGGGCAGGGUGAGUCGACCCCUAAGGCGAGGCCGAAAGGCGUAGUCGAUGGGAAACGGGUUAAUAUUCCCGUACUUGGUGUUACUGCGAAGGGGGGACGGAGAAGGCUAUGUUGGCCGGGCGACGGUUGUCCCGGUUUAAGUGUGUAGGUGUGUGUUCCAGGUAAAUCCGGUUCACUUUAACACUGAGGCGUGACGACGAGGCACUACGGUGCUGAAGCAACAAAUGCCCUGCUUCCAGGAAAAGCCUCUAAGCAUCAGGUAACAUCAAAUCGUACCCCAAACCGACACAGGUGGUCAGGUAGAGAAUACCAAGGCGCUUGAGAGAACUCGGGUGAAGGAACUAGGCAAAAUGGUGCCGUAACUUCGGGAGAAGGCACGCUGACACGUAGGUGAAGUGAUUUACUCAUGGAGCUGAAGUCAGUCGAAGAUACCAGCUGGCUGCAACUGUUUAUUAAAAACACAGCACUGUGCAAACACGAAAGUGGACGUAUACGGUGUGACGCCUGCCCGGUGCCGGAAGGUUAAUUGAUGGGGUCAGCGCAAGCGAAGCUCCUGAUCGAAGCCCCGGUAAACGGCGGCCGUAACUAUAACGGUCCUAAGGUAGCGAAAUUCCUUGUCGGGUAAGUUCCGACCUGCACGAAUGGCGUAAUGAUGGCCAGGCUGUCUCCACCCGAGACUCAGUGAAAUUGAACUCGCUGUGAAGAUGCAGUGUACCCGCGGCAAGACGGAAAGACCCCGUGAACCUUUACUAUAGCUUGACACUGAACAUUGAGCCUUGAUGUGUAGGAUAGGUGGGAGGCUUUGAAGUGUGGACGCCAGUCUGCAUGGAGCCGACCUUGAAAUACCACCCUUUAAUGUUUGAUGUUCUAACGUGGACCCGUUACCCGGGUUGCGGACAGUGUCUGGUGGGUAGUUUGACUGGGGCGGUCUCCUCCUAAAGAGUAACGGAGGAGCACGAAGGUUGGCUAAUCCUGGUCGGACAUCAGGAGGUUAGUGCAAUGGCAUAAGCCAGCUUGACUGCGAGCGUGACGGCGCGAGCAGGUGCGAAAGCAGGUCAUAGUGAUCCGGUGGUUCUGAAUGGAAGGGCCAUCGCUCAACGGAUAAAAGGUACUCCGGGGAUAACAGGCUGAUACCGCCCAAGAGUUCAUAUCGACGGCGGUGUUUGGCACCUCGAUGUCGGCUCAUCACAUCCUGGGGCUGAAGUAGGUCCCAAGGGUAUGGCUGUUCGCCAUUUAAAGUGGUACGCGAGCUGGGUUUAGAACGUCGUGAGACAGUUCGGUCCCUAUCUGCCGUGGGCGCUGGAGAACUGAGGGGGGCUGCUCCUAGUACGAGAGGACCGGAGUGGACGCAUCACUGGUGUUCGGGUUGUCAUGCCAAUGGCACUGCCCGGUAGCUAAAUGCGGAAGAGAUAAGUGCUGAAAGCAUCUAAGCACGAAACUUGCCCCGAGAUGAGUUCUCCCUGAGACUUAGAGUCUCCUGAAGGAACGUUGAAGACGACGACGUUGAUAGGCCGGGUGUGUAAGCGCAGCGAUGCGUUGAGCUAACCGGUACUAAUGAACCGUGAGGCUUAACCUUACAACGCCGAAG
rnacentral:rRNA from 1 species